GGGACACGAGACGGUACUCUGUUGGGUGUAGCUAGGGAGCGAGCGCUCUAUCUUCCAGCCCAAGUCUCCGUCUCUCUCCCUCUAGGGUUUCUCCUCUUCGUCGCGCGAGCGCUCCAAAGAUGGAAGAGAAUCUCGAUGCUGCAAUAGAGACCCUUUUGAACGUGGAGAAGCAAAUGAGGCUUGCUGGUGAUGUUGCCGGAACCAAGAAAGCUGUUACUGACAUUGUGGAGCUUUGUUACAGAGCCCGUGCAUGGAAGACUCUGAAUGAUCAGAUAGUUCUUCUGUCAAAAAGGAGGGCCCAGCUUAAGCAGGUAGGAAAGUUGGUUUCUUGCUGAGUUUAAAUCGAUCUAUUUAUCGAAUUGUUAGACGCUUAGAGCAGGCUACGUUUGGAAUUCUUGUUUGCUAUGAUACCAGCGAGCCUAGUGUAGUGAAACCACCUUGGUGAUAUUUUUGUUAGUUCAUGGGCAUGUACAAUCAAAAAUACAGAUCUAGGUGCAGGUGAACUGUGUUUUUAGUAUGUCUUCUUUGUAUGUUCCUAGGUUAUCGAAAUUUAAGGUCACUGAGGUGCCUCUGCUUUGUUCUGAAGUAUAACAUAUGUUGACAUGUUAUGUAUUUAGGUUGUUCACUGUUAGAUUUUAAGUGCUCAAGUGAGAAAGAUAUUUCAUUGAGA